rnacentral:tRNA from 1 species
GCCGCGGUGGCGGAAUUGGUAUACGCGCUGGUCUCAAACACCAGUGAGCUUAUGUUCAUGAGGGUUCGACUCCCUCCCGCGGCA